UACGUAGGGAGCAAGCGUUGUCCGGAAUCAUUGGGCGUAAAGCGCGCGUAGGUGGCCCGGUAAGUCCGCUCUGAAAGUCACAGGCUCAACCUGUGAAAGCGGGUGGAUACUGCCGGGCUAGAGUCCGGAAGAGGCGAGUGGAAUUCCCGGUGUAGUGGUGAUAUGCGUAGAUAUCGGGAGGAACACCAGUGGCGAAGGCGGCUCUCUGGGCCCUACCUGACGCUGAGACGCGAAAGCGUGGGGAGCGAACCGG
rnacentral:rRNA from 1 species